CAGAGUUCACGGUGAGUAGAUCGACCAGCGGUGGGACGGCUCCACAAAGUGCCACCGUGGUCUGGUUUUGGGGACAAGCGGCACACAGCGCCUGGAUACAUCUCACAGAGUUCACCAGCACAUCCUGAAGGUCAGAGACUCACCAGUUCUGCUAUUUGAGCCUGAUACGUCCCGCUGUGAGCAGCCAGGUCUGUCAGGAUAACGGUGCAGCGCGACUGAAGCUCUGGAUGAUGGCUGCUGAGGUGAUUGAUGAGCACUCGGACAGCACCGAAGCGCACCAGCUCCUCACACACCGGGACGUUCUUCGUCAUGUGACACAACACAGCCGCAGCCAUACGCUGGAGCAACAACCUCGCACUGAGCAAAAUGUUCACCAGGACUGAGAUCCCACCUGUUACAGCACAUACGCACUGAGCAUUGUUACACACUCUUACCGUACAAAGAGUACAGCGCUGCAAAACUCUACAUUCUCAUUGUUCAGAAGGUUUAUUUUUAUCGCAGGUUUACUAUUUUUAUUGUGCUUGUUCUAAUACGUUAUUGUUUCUAUAGAAAAAGCUUGUUUGCAGGUUUUAAACUUUAACUAUUUGAGUAAUUUAAACAUGGAAAGCUGUGAUUUUUGUUUCUUUUUUUUAACAGCUCAGCCUGUCAAUUUUUUAUUGCUUAUAUACAUAUACACAAGUUCCUGUUUAAUGACUUUUUUCUUUUCUUACUAUGAGGAAAAAAGUUAAAGAUCCUCAAUAGGUUUUCUUUUAUCCAAGCAUCAAAUGUGUGGUUUAAUAUACACACAUGUACACUAUGUUCAAAACCAAGUUACACAACUGAAAACAAACACCAGCGACCUGCAUUCAUGAUGUGCUCCCAGAAGGGGUCAGCGUUCACACAGAGAGCCUCCAUGCAUCUGAUUGCCAUCUCUAGCCUCCUGUUCUCCUGACUCUGUAACAUCUCUGUAGCCACAAACACACACAAAUGACAUUUCAGAUUAUAAAUAAACAUACUCUGUAGUGACUACUAAACAAUACAGAGUCUAAAAGAC